ensembl:lncRNA
GUCGUAAACAUGCUCUGAACUGUUUGUGUUAUCAGAUCUGGGAAGACUGCCAAAUAUGUGAGUUAGAAAACAUCACACUGAGGCACUUUGCUGCAUAUCAAGAACAUUAACCCUGAUGAAGACGAACAAGAUGCAGUUGAAGCAUUUCACCAAGAAAUGACUACUUUAAUCAACUUUAUCAAUACUAAUUUCAGUCUUACAUCAGUUGGGAUCAUCACAGGGCAUCAGUAAGAAUGCACAGAAGUCCACAGCUGUGUCCCAAACUGAAGUGUGCGGACUCCGAAGUGCGAUUGCAUCACAGCAUCAUGAUGUAAUCUGUCCCAAUUCAGGAUGCACCCUCCAAAGACUGCAUUCCAAGACGGAUUGCGGGUGAGAGUUCUGUGGGGGAAUUAACAUUGAAAUGAUUAUUCUGGAGAAAAUGAGCCUGCUGGAGAAGGACUUAAAAAAUAGAGUUGAGCAAAAUCUGCUCACCCAAGUUAUGUUAAUUUAAUGUUUAUAUUUACAUUUUAAAUUCUACAAGCUUAAAAUUAAGGUAUUUAAUUGUAAUAAUUCAAAAGAUACCUGUUUUGUAAAACAUUUAAUGAAAAUGUUUGUGAAAGGUUUUUUUUUUUUUUUACUUUAGUUUUAUGGUUUUUUGUUUGGUGGCUGUUGCUGCCAUUCAUUUAACCAUUUUCUUACUGUAUUUUUUUAAUGUAUACAGAAAAGGUCAUCAAAUAUAUUCGUAUAAAAUAUAUGUACAUAAAUAUAUAUAUUUUGGCC